GUCGAGAAUCUUUCACAAUGGGGGCAACCCUGAUGGAGCGACGCCGCGUGGAGGAUAAGGUCUUCGGAUUGUAAACUCCUGUCAUGCGUGAACAAGGUUGCUUGGUUAAUACCUGGGCAAAUUGAUGGUAACGCAAGAGGAAGAGACGGCUAACUCUGUGCCAGCAGCCGCGGUAAUACAGAGGUCUCAAGCGUUGUUCGGAAUCACUGGGCGUAAAGGGUGCGUAGGUGGCGUGGUAAGUCAGAUGUGAAAGCCCGGGGCUCAACCUCGGAACUGCAUCCGAUACUGCUAUGCUAGAGUACUGGAGAGGUGACUAGAAUUCUCGGUGUAGCAGUGAAAUGCGUAGAUAUCGAGAGGAAUACCAAAGGCGUAGGCAGGUCACUGGACAGUUACUGACACUGAGGCACGAAGGCCAGGGGAGCGAACGGGAUUAGAAACCCCUGUAGUCC
rnacentral:rRNA from 1 species